rnacentral:rRNA from 1 species
CCUACGGGAGGCAGCAGUGGGGAAUAUUGGGCAAUGGGCGAAAGCCUGACCCAGCGACGCCGCGUGAGGGACGAAGGCCUUCGGGUUGUAAACCUCUUUCAGCAGGGAAGAAGCGAAAGUGACGGUACCUGCAGAAGAAGCACCGGCUAACUACGUGCCAGCAGCCGCGGUAAUACGUAGGGUGCAAGCGUUGUCCGGAAUUAUUGGGCGUAAAGAGCUCGUAGGUGGUUUGCCACGUCGGAUGUGAAAACCUGAGGCUUAACCUCAGGCCUGCAUUCGAUACGGGCAGACUAGAGUGUGGUAGGGGAGACUGGAAUUCCUGGUGUAGCGGUGAAAUGCGCAGAUAUCAGGAGGAACACCGGUGGCGAAGGCGGGUCUCUGGGCCAUAACUGACACUGAGGAGCGAAAGCGUGGGGAGCAAACAGGAUUAGAUACCCUGGUAGUCCACGCCGUAAACGGUGGGCACUAGAUGUGGGGACCUUCCACGGUCUCUGCGUCGCNGCUACGCAUAGUGCCCGCCGUGGGUAGGUACGGCCGCGAGACGUAAACGUACGAAGGAAGUAAGUACGGCGUUGAGACGUUGCCGACGGCGACGACGAGGGAGGAGG